UACAGAGGUCUCAAGCGUUGUUCGGAUUUAUUGGGCGUAGAGGGCGCGUAGGCGGCGGGGUAAGUCGGGUGUGAAAUCUCAGGGCUCAACCCUGAAACUGCACUUGAUACUGCUCUGCUUGAGGACUGGAGAGGAGACUGGAAUUCACGGUGUAGCAGUGAAAUGCGCAGAUAUCAGGAGGAACACCGAUGGCGAAGGCAGUGUUCUGGGCCAGUACUGACGCUGAGGAGCGAAAGCGUGGGGAGCAAACAGG
rnacentral:rRNA from 1 species